CCUGGUGGCUUAGAGGUUAAAGCAUCAACCUCCAAUGCGGGAGACCCAGGUUCAAUCCCUGGGUCAGGA
rnacentral:tRNA from 1 species